rnacentral:rRNA from 1 species
UAGGGAAUCUUCCGCAAUGGACGCAAGUCUGACGGAGCAACGCCGCGUGAGUGAAGAAGGAUUUCGGUUCGUAAAACUCUGUUGUUAGAGAAGAACAGCGCAUAGAGUAACUGUUAUGCGUGUGACGGUAUCUAACCAGAAAGCCACGGCUAACUACGUGCCAGCAGCCGCGGUAAUACGUAGGUGGCAAGCGUUAUCCGGAAUUAUUGGGCGUAAAGCGCGCGUAGGCGGUUUUUUAAGUCUGAUGUGAAAGCCCACGGCUCAACCGUGGAGGGUCAUUGGAAACUGGAAAACUUGAGUGCAGAAGAGGAAAGUGGAAUUCCAUGUGUAGCGGUGAAAUGCGCAGAGAUAUGGAGGAACACCAGUGGCGAAGGCGACUUUCUGGUCUGUAACUGACGCUGAUGUGCGAAAGCGUGGGGAUCAAACAGG